UAGGGAAUCUUCGGCAAUGGGGGGAACCCUGACCGAGCAACGCCGCGUGAGUGAAGAAGGUUUUCGGAUCGUAAAGCUCUGUUGGUAAGGAAGAACGAGUGUGAGAAUGGAAAGUUCAUGCUGUGACGGUACUUAACCAGAAAGGGACGGCUAACUACGUGCCAGCAGCCGCGGUAAUACGUAGGUCCCGAGCGUUGUCCGGAUUUAUUGGGCGUAAAGCGAGCGCAGGCGGUUAGAUAAGUCUGAAGUUAAAGGCAGUGGCUCAACCAUUGUAGGCUUUGGAAACUGUGUAACUUGAGUGCAGAAGGGGAGAGUGGAAUUCCAUGUGUAGCGGUGAAAUGCGUAGAUAUAUGGAGGAACACCGGUGGCGAAAGCGGCUCUCUGGUCUGUAACUGACGCUGAGGCUCGAAAGCGUGGGGAGCGAACAGG
rnacentral:rRNA from 1 species